GCACUUCAUGCUUCCAGGCAAACUUUGCUUUUAGUGUCUUUUCUUUUUCUCCACUGGGAUGGCCCCAAAUAUUGUCAGAUUUUCCAUGAGUCUUUAUCCUACACAUCUUCUCAUUCUAAGUGUGUGACUUUUAUCACUUAAAUCUUGGAUAAAAUUAAUCUCAUUUAUUUCUCUUCCCUGUCCUUCCAGCAUUAGUAACUUCGCCCACACCCCCUCCUCGCAUCCUGUCUCCCUGGGGGAUCCUUCCCUUCCUCCCUGGGGAAUCCUUCCCUUCCUCCUUCAGGACUUUGCUCGGUCAGUUACUGGUGGCUUCACAUUCUGCACUUGGCCUCCUUCCUUGAGCCAAAAAAGACUUAAAAAAUCUCUUAACUCUGCUUCAUCAUGGACAAAUCCAGAACCUCGUUCAGCGUUAGUCAUUGUGCGCACGUUCCUGCAGUGUCCACGGUUCCAGCGCUCCCUCAGCGGCCCCUAUCAAAUCUGUUCCUCCUGCAUCAGUCCCUCCUGGAGCUCCCUUUAUGUGACACCCUCUGUUGCUCAGACUUGGAACAAGGCGAGGAACAGCGCCGCAGCGACUGGGAGCCCCGUGGCCGCGACAUCAAGGCUCAGGCAGUCGCAGGGCCCCUGGGCGGCUCAGCGGAUUGAGCCUCUGACUUGUGCUUUGGGCCCAGGUCAUGACCCCGGGCCGUGGGAUCGCGCGACCGCAGGCUCCGAGCUCAGCGGGCUCUGCUCCGUGCUCUGUCCCUCGCUCUCUGCUCCUCCCUGCUUGCUCACUCUGUCUAAAAUAAGCAAAUAAAUCAAUCUUAGGAAAAACAGAAAACCUCAAGCAGCUGGAUAUGGA
rnacentral:lncRNA from 1 species